AUCUCCCUGGGAGGUUCGUGAUUGAAGAACGAUUUCUGAGCCAACAUCUCAAUAACGGAUGCUGCUACGAGACUGCUGGUGAGCAGACCCGCCACGCGGGGAGCCUAAAGGCAGGACUGCGGUGUCCACCUGAAUACUCAGGUUCAAAAGACUUCUUCAACACGGCUUUCCGGGGCUGUA
rnacentral:other from 1 species